UACGGAGGAUGCAAGCGUUAUCCGGAAUCAUUGGGCGUAAAGCGUCCGCAGGUGGCAGUUCAAGUCUGCUGUCAAAGACUGGGGCUUAACCCUAGAAAGGCAGUGGAAACUGAACAGCUAGAGUGCGGUAGGGGUAGAGGGAAUUCCCGGUGUAGCGGUGAAAUGCGUAGAGAUCGGGAAGAACACCAGUGGCGAAAGCGCUCUGCUGGACCUGCACUGACACUGAGGGACGAAAGCUAGGGGAGCGAAUGGG
rnacentral:rRNA from 1 species